rnacentral:rRNA from 1 species
GACGGAGGGGGCAAGCGUUGUCCGGAAUUACUGGGCGUAAAGCGCUCGUAGGCGGCUGCAUACGGCGGCGGUGAAAGCUCCCGGCUCAACUGGGAGAGGCCCGUCGCAACGGUGCGGCUCGAGGGUGGUAGAGGCAGACGGAAUUCCUGGUGUAGCGGUGAAAUGCGUAGAGAUCAGGAGGAACACCCGUGGCGAAGGCGGUCUGCUGGGCCAUACCUGACGCUGAGGAGCGAAAGCCAGGGGAGCGAACGGG